GCUUUCAUAUGUGAAAGCAGUAGGGCGCCAGAUAAUGACUGGAAUAGGCAAUAAUAUUGCUUUCAUAUGUGAAUCCAGUGGGGCGCCAGAUAAUGACAGGUUAAAUUUGUUUGAUGCUCACUUUCAAGCUAGUUCUCAUGUACGAAAGCUUUUGUUUGGUUAGUUUAUUGACUACAGAUGCAGGCAUUAAAUGCAUUUCUGGUAAUAAUUGGUAAUCUAGAAUGCAUGUCUGAUCGUCAAAUGUGAUACAUCCAGAUGGUUGUGGAGUUGAUUCUUUUACUUUUUAUCUUAUUUUCAACUAGAUUGAUUGCGUGUUUUUUUAUUUAUGAUAACGUUAAAUUAUUAUUAUUAUUUGUGCAAUAAUUGGUAAACUAGAAUGCAUGUCUGAUCUCUAUAUGCAAUUAUAUAGGGAGGCCAGGUUGGGGGAGGUUAGGUGUUCUCAGUGCAUAUCUUAGAAGUUAAAACGGCUCGAUUUUAUGAUUUUCUUUUUGUUUGGACACGUUCUUUACUAACAAUUUUAAGACAUAGUUGCACUCUGCUUCCUCAUCCUGAAACCACCAGUUUGAAGCAGAGCUGCCUUCUGCCGUGCAUCUUGCUCUGUUUUGGUUUCCAGCGUAUCUUGCCUGUAUUCGUCGUAGUGCUCGAUUCCUUUCUGGUUUUCUUUCACAAGGUGCACCAGACGUUGAUGGAGUUGUUUUCCCCCCUCACGGUGUCCCGGUCAAAAUAGUUAUUUGUCAUCCCCCUUUGAUUAAGUGAUAGGGUAUUGUUUACAUAGAAAUGUUGAUCUUCAGUGAUGAUGCAAAAUCAAAUUGACACGCCCGAUAAUCGCGCUGGAUAAAUUUUGUGCAUCCUUUGACCACGCCAUUUUUUCAUGCAUAAAAUUAUGAGAUGCUUUCUUGCAUGAUCUUUUCUUGGACUUCUUAAUAGUUAGUACACU